CAUGCAUGCCUUUUGCACCACUAAUUCAACAAUCUUCAACCAUCGAGCAAGCAAAGAUGUCACUUGAUCUCCAUCACUAAAAAACCACCUUAAUUAUUUCUAAUUAUGUUCCUUUUGCACCACCAGUUCAGGAACUGUUAGGGAUUCGAUCAAACAAAUUAAGAUGUCAUUAGUUAAUUUUCAUGGUCCCACCCUAAUAAUUGUAUCCCUUUCAUUCAUCGGCCUAUCCAAACUUGUUAUCUGUUCCAAUUCGAUUCACUACAUCCACCACUAUUGCUCCUUAGAAGUUAACAAAGCCCAAAACGGCUCGUUCCAAGACAACGUUAACAAACUCCUCACCGAACUCUCCUCGAAAUCCUCGGGCACCAGCUUCUACAACUCCACCUCCGGAGACAACGACAAAAAAGUGUACGGCCUGUACCUUUGUCGAGGUUCUGUCAAGUCCGGAGUCUGCCACGACUGCAUCGACUCCGCUGCCAAGAACCUCAAACAAAAUUGCACCAACAACAGGGAAUCUAUCGUUUGGUAUGAGGAAAUGCAUGUUGGGAUAUUCGAACCGCUCCAUCUCUGCCACGGAGGAGGAGCUUCCGUGGCGAUAUUGGUGCAGUGUGAACAAAGAGUCAAACGAAGACCAGUUUAAUCAGAGCUUGUUGAGUUUGAUGAAUGGUCUUGUGGACAAAGCUGUUGGCAAUACCACACCAAUUUAUUUUGCAACCGGGGAUGACAAGAAAGGCAACGGAGGGACGUCGAUAUAUUGUUUGUUGCAAUGUACUCCGGACAUAAAUGGGACUGGCUGUCAAAGGUGUUUGAGGGCAGGUAUCGGUUGGUAUCAGGAGACUUGUGAGGUGAGGGAAGAACAUGGGGUAUGAUUUUUUCGCCAAGCUGUCAGUUGAGGUACGGGCCUGACCUCUUUUACGGGGAAGGAAAACCAACCAAAAGUGGUGGAACAGGGAAGAGAAAAUCUUUCGUUGCUGUUAGAGUCACCGUUCAAGUUGUUGUGGCGGUACUCUGGGUUAUUGGUUAAUCUGGGUGCAUGACAGGAAUGCCAAAGAGAAAAGCCAUGCAUGCAUGUCAAGAAAGCGCUUCCCAUUUCACCUAGAGUUGCUGUGGUCUGGGCGAGCGUUGGGCCAUGCACAUCUGGGAUGAUUCUCUGUGGCACCCACGCAGCAAUUUUUGAAGAGUAUUUACCCUAAAUGGAGUAUGGAUAGAGCCAGAUACAUACAGUUGUAUUUAAAUGUGUGUUUAGGGCCUUGGGCCGGCCAAUGUACUCUGUAAAAAGAAGAUAUAUUUUUCGUACAUUUAAUUUUGUUUUGAAAUUUAGGUUAAACUCCAUAAUCAUGCUAAAAUUUUAUAUUAGACGUGAUUAUCUGACUAUAAUAUAAUUUUUUUUUUUAUGAA